rnacentral:rRNA from 1 species
GACGAACGCUCGCGGCGUGCUUAACACAUGCAAGUCGAACGGUAAGGCCCUUCGGGGUACACGAGUGGCGAACGGGUGAGUAACACGUGGGUGAUCUGCCCUGCACUUCGGGAUAAGCCUGGGAAACUGGGUCUAAUACCGGAUAGGACUCCUGGCUUCAUGGUUGGGGGUGGAAAGCUUUUGCGGUGUGGGAUGGGCCCGCGGCCGAUCAGCUUGUUGGUGGGGUAAUGGCCUACCAAGGCGACGACGGGUAGCCGGCCUGCGAGGGUGACCGGUCACACUGGGACUGGGAUACGGCCCAGACGCCUACGGGAGGCAGCAGUGGGGAAUAUUGCACAAUGGGCGCAAGCCUGAUGCAGCGACGCCGCGUGAGGGAUGACGGCCUUCGGGUUGUAAACCUCUUUCAGCUAUGACGAAGCGCAAGUGACGGUAGUAGCAGAAGAAGGACCGGCCAACUACGUGCAGCCGCCGCCGUAA